UUAGUCUUUUUGCACUGCAUUUGUACAAUUGUAUAUUCUUGCCACUACUAGGUGAUUCCUUGAAUUAUUCACUUCGUUGUAGAAUACCAGUUUGAUGGAAUGCCUAAGGUCUAAGGAGAUAAACAUUGGUAUCCAGAAUAGAUCUACCUAAACCAACAUGCACAAAACAUGCAUAUCAUCCCUUUAAUCUGCAUUAGUGUGUCUAAGUGGUUAGUGUAUUGUAAGCUCCAUCCAUGGAGCAGUGAAAUAAGCUGACGCUGUAUAACGUGCAGCUAGCUUGUUGUUUAGACAUUUUCCCGUUUUUAAGUAUUACUUUUCUCUAUAUCUGUGAAUUGGAUUGUUGAUAUUUCCUGGAGUCGAUUUUGCUGUGUCAAGUCCACAACAUCACCAUGCAUGUAGGUCUACUUGGUUCAUCUUCAGGUUCAGGUGUAGGGGUUAGUGGCCUUAAGCAUUAACCAUUUAAUCCUGAUGAAUGCUGCUUGUUUUGCACAGGCUGACAAGGACACUGACGAGGUCUACGCAUAGAUGACUCUGCAACCAAUAAACUCUGUGUUGUGUGUUCUGGAAGACGGAAGAGGAAGAAAACUUAUUUUUGUUGAACUAAAUUUUAUGUAUUCUGUUUUGUUGUACGUAUCAUUUGAUACUUUUGUAUAGGAACAAGUGAUACUAUUUUGUAGGGCUUUAUGGCCUGUGAUGUAAAGAUAUUUAGUGCUGAAAUAUGAAAUUAUUUGCAAAAUUUGUCGAAAAGGAGGAUCAUUUGUACGAAUA